rnacentral:circRNA from 1 species
UGCCUGAUCAACUUUCUAGCGGGAGAACGAUCAUGGAGGUGGUGCCAGCUGAGGUGAAUAGUUUGCUUCCAGAGGAAAUAAUGGACACUGGUAUAACUUUAGUGGAUGAUGAUAGUAUUGAGGCUGUUAUUGUUUCAUCCCCAAUUCCCAUGGAGACAGAACUGGAAGAAAUUGUCAACAUAAAUUCUACUGGUGACUCUACAGCCACGCCCAUUUCCACGGAACCAAUCACAGUGUACAGUAACCACACUAACCAAGUUGCAGUGAAUACCACAAUUACUAAAGCAGAUUCUAAUACCACAGUGAAACCAGCUUUUCCAAGUGGCCUUCAAAAACUUGGUGCUCAGACUCCUGUGACUAUAUCAGCCAAUCAGAUUAUUUUAAACAAAGUAUCACAGACAUCUGAUCUUAAACUUGGCAAUCAGACCCUUAAACCAGAUGGACAGAAGUUAAUUUUAACAACUUUGGGCAAGUCUGGUUCACCAAUUGUUUUAGCACUACCCCAUAGCCAACUACCCCAGGCUCAGAAAGUUACAACUCAGGCCCAGUCAGGAGAUGCUAAGUUACCACCGCAGCAAAUUAAAGUAGUUACCAUUGGAGGGAGGCCAGAGGUGAAACCUGUCAUUGGUGUCUCAGCAUUGACCCCAGGAAGUCAACUGAUUAAUACUACAACUCAGCCCUCUGUGUUACAGACCCAACAGUUAAAAACAGUACAGAUUGCUAAGAAGCCUCGAACGCCAACCUCUGGUCCAGUAAUCACGAAGCUGAUCUUUGCAAAACCAAUUAAUAGUAAAGCAGUUACAGGACAGACAACUCAAGUUUCACCACCAGUUAUUGCAGGUAGGGUUCUUUCACAGUCUACUCCCGGAACUCCAUCAAAGACCAUAACAAUAUCUGAAAGUGGUGUUAUUGGAUCAACUUUAAAUUCUACAACACAGACACCAAAUAAAAUAGCCAUCUCACCUUUGAAAUCGCCAAAUAAG